CAGCUGUGUGGUGUUUGCUGCCUGCCAGACUGAACUGCAACUGCCUAACUGCAAAGAGAAUCUUAGUUCAGACUUAACAGCUUGUAAUGGUAAAAGAGGGUUAAUUGUUGUCUCUGAGGACUGAUGUUCAGAACCUGGAUGCGGGCCCUCAAGUAAGAAACCACUCAUAUAUUACUACAAAGAAGCAGUCAAUCUAACUGCAGUUUCCACACUGUAAGAGGUCAUCCUUUUACGCCAUUGCCUCAAAGCUUGCUGAGGGACACAGAUGAAUAAGUUCAAGCAAGUCCUGACCAAGGAUUAGAAAAUCCUUUAUCUGAAGAGACAACAGAUGGACAAGGACAGGGGCAAUGAGAGAGAGAUAAGUGGCAGCUAAAUGGCCAAGAAACAGUCUUCUGUGUGGACUUAUCUCAAGGGAGACAGCCAUCUCAGGGGGUGCUCACAUGGUGCUUACCCAAGCGCCCAGGAAUGUCACGUAGGCAGGGAAGAAGGAGGAUAAAAGAGGGUCCAACAACCAUGAAGGCAGGUUUCUGACAACAGAUUCCUCAUGACCUGCCUCUCCCUACUGGGCUUGCUCUGUUCUCUACCUGCUUGCUGCCUAAGGAUGGCCCCUCUUCUGCUGCUCUCCCUUCUGAGGAGGCUGUCUGCCAUCAGAUCCCUCACUACAAAAGGCCUGCAUGCUGACGGACUCUCCAGGGCCUGCUACUGGAGACCUGUUGCUUCCGCCUGGACUUCUUCCUGGACCUACUUGGUACCUGCACCUUCUUGCUGCCCAAGACCGGCCACGCUGCUGCUGCUCUUCCCCUGUGCUUUUGCCCCAGACCAUCGGAACGUCAUGCAGUGGGACUGCUGCUGAAUCCUGGUGUUUUAAGAGCUGCUGUUGUGAUAAGGAGACACUGCUUUUUCUCCAGG
ensembl:lncRNA